UCCCCAGGAAACAAAACUAUGGACUUUUUCUAAAGCCCAUAUGUAACACUUUAUAUAGGACCAGUACCAGUACCUGAUUCUCUUUAGGAUCUGAGCACACACACUAGUGUUCAUUUCCAUUUCUGAAUUUGGGAUUCUUCAUUAAAGGGACCAUGUAAUUAGAGAUGGUAUGUCAAGGUCCUGCUUGAAAUUAAAAUUCUGGAAGUAUUACAAAGGAGAAACAGCUAAAAAUACAUUUUUGAACUUAUUUUAUAUGUACGCUUGGCGUCAAAAUAAUGAUUGAGCUCCUUAGAUCCUAAAGACUCUGAAGUAGAGACUAACUGCUCAGUGGGAAUGACAGUCAAUAUCAUAUCCUUAUUCCAAUAAAUUAAAAAUAGUUAAAAGUAGACAAAGAGGUUAAAACACAGCUCUUUAUGACCUCAGCCUUUUAAAAAGGUACUGGUAGUGGAGAGAGGGGGAAAGAUUGCUUGACCUUCUGGAAGAACACCUCGAAUCUGGUCUCAGUUCUCACAACUAGGCAUGCAGCUCUGAAGAAGUGAACUAAACCCUCACAAGGUUGGUUUUUCUUAAGAACAAAAUGGUGCUGGUCAUCCCUGCUUAUCUCCUAGGUUUAUGGUAAGGUUUUAAUGAGACCACGCAGGUAAACUGCUUUAUAAACUGUGAUGUUUCAUGCAAAGGCCAGCCAUCAUGAUUAUUACUAUUUUUAGACAGGUCCUCAGUUACUGAUGGUCUUUUGAAACCUAAACCUGAUUUAUAAGUCACCUGUUUAGAACACUGAACAUACAGUCUCACGGAGGCAAUGCUGUAAAUGGUGAUUAGCCUGCAACUGCAUUUAAUUCAUAAGAUGCCUAAAGCAGGAGCUAACAGUGCUGAUUACAGGUCUACCUACCUGACAGGCACGUGCAGACACCCGGGGUAGGAGCGAGGCUGAGGUGGGGAGGGUGAGACAGACACCAGAGUACUCACGGGUACCAGAACUUGGAUUCUCUUCUCUUUAGCUUCCCUCUAGGUCAGUUUUUCUACAAAUAUUCUAAAGAGGGUGACAAACGGCAACUGUCACCACACCAGCCCCUGCUAAACAGAAACUGGAACUACCCAGAAACUUAACUAUUCUGGGGAGUGACGUCAGCAAGAUGGAGGGCUAGGAGACCCCAACUCAUGCCUCCCACACAAGAAGCCAACAAAAACAAUAAACAGCACAAACUGAAGAAAACCCCCCAGGGAAAGUACUGGGCUACAAGGAAGCAGCAAAAAGCCCUGCAGAGCUCCAAAAUAAAUCAAGGAUAGCUGCACAGGACAGUACAGGAAGUGUACUACCCGAGUCAAGCCAUCACCCUGUCAAGAGCAGCCUGGCACCAGGAGGGAUGGCCUCAGAGGACGUUCACCACACGGGGAAAAGGAGAACCCCUGCAGGCCUCUCCGCUGGAGACGCGUGCAGCCUCUGCUGCAGUGUCUCCUACCAACAUUGCUCCCAGCUGACGGAGCUGACCACGGUGCUUCCCAGCCCCUGCAGCUACUCCCAGGGGCUAGAGCUGUCGCUCAGGAGACCUGCCCUCAGGGACCCCAGUCUCUCUCUGGAAUGAGGCGCGCCUCAGCACCUCACCAUGUACAGGAUGAGCUCUGGGCCUCAGCCUUGGUUUCAGGGUAGUGGCUUUGUCCCACAGUUACCAGCACAGUGUCUGCUGCCCUGGGCCCCGCCUACUGGAUACCAGGUUAUAGCUCUGACCCAUCAUCCUCAAGGAUGCUACCAUCACUGAGCCCUGCCCCCCUCCCGCCCCCAGGUUGAGGCUCUGACACAUCAGUGCUGAGACUGGGCAGCACUGCCCUGAGCUCGGCUGCUGAAGCUCAGCUUUAACAGAUCAGCACUGCAGCUGUGCUGCUGCUACUGCCUUGUGACUGCCGCAUGGGGCCAGAAGUGAGACUCCGACCCACCAUCCCCAGUCUAUGCUGCUACUGCAGCCUGGGCCCAAGCCGCCACCACAGCUUGUCAUCCCAGGGCCUGUGCCACUGUCACACACCCCCACACCCGUAAGCCACUGUGGGGAGCCCCUGAAACUCAGGUCCCAGGUCCACGGAAGAGCUGUACGUAUGUAUACCGCAGACAUCAGUGCCAUACCUGCAGCAAGUGCACCUGUACCUCAGGACUACUGUGGUAGUUCUGUACGCACCGGAUCCUAGGACCCUGGCUCUGUUACCCCGAAUGAAUAGCCAAAACGAUCUUGAGAAAAAAAGAACAAAGCUGGAGGUAGCACACCUCCUGAUUUCAAACUAUAUUACCAAACUAUAGUAAUCAAAACGGUAUGGUAUUGACCUAAAAACAGUCACACAGAUCAAAGGAACAAAACAGAGAGCCCAGAGAUAAACGUACACUUAAAUGGUCAAUUAAUUUACAACACAGGAGCCAUGAUAUACAAUGGAGAAAGGCCAGUCUCUUCAGUAAGUGGUACUGGGCAAACUGGACCACUAUCUUACACCACACACAAAAUUUGAUCUAUUUUGAGUUAAGACUUGAAUGUAAGACCAGCAACAUUAAAAUUCUUAUUAUGUAGCAAACACAGGUGGUAAGCUCCAUGACAUCACUCUUGGCAAUGAUUUUUUGGAUUUAACACCAAAAGUGGGGGAGUAGGUGAAAUGAGUGAAAGGUUUCAGAGGUACAAGCUUUCAGUUAUAAAAUAAGUGAGUCAUGGGGAUGUAAGGUACAGCAUGGUGACUAUAGUUUAUAAUACUGUACUGCUUAUUUGAAAGUCUCUAAAAGAACAAAUCUUAAAAGUUCUCAUCACACACAUAAAAAAUUUGUAAUUAUGUAUAGUGAUCAAUGUUAAUAGGCCUACUGAGGUGAUCAUUUUGCAAUACAUAAAAACAUAAAAUCAUUAUGUUGUGCACAUGAAAGUAAUAUAAUAUUAAACAUCAGUUACACCUUAAAAAAUAAAAAUCCUGUGGUGGUGGUGUGUAAAUCACUUUGAACUCUACCAUACAGGCUAAGAGACAAGGGUUAAAAAUAACUACAUCUACAAUAUUAUGUUAAUGGAUACACAAUAUAAAGAGAUGUAUACUGGGACAUCAAAAUAAAUUAUGGAGGUCACGUAAAUGCACUGAACUUUCUUAUGUAAUUGAAGUUAAGCUGUUGUUAGCUUAAAACAGUUAUAAGACUAAGAUGUGUUACAAAAGCCUCAUGAUAACCAAAGAGCAAUAGACAAACCAUAAAGAAGAGAAUCAAAGCAUACUACUAUAAAAAAAAAUCAAGUCACAAAGAAACCAACAGAAGAAGAAAGAAACUACAGAACUACAAAACAAUUAACAAAGUGGCAAUAGUAAUUCCUUACCUAUCAACAUUUACUGUAAAUGUAAAUGGUUUUAUUUCUCCAAUCAAAAGACAUAGAGUGGCUGAAUGGAUAAAAGAACAAAACCCAACUCUAUGUGAGUCUAUAAGACUCACUUAUGCUUCAAGGACAUGGAUAGGCUGAAAGUGAUGAGACGAAAAAGAUAUUGCAUACAAAUGGAAAACAAAAGAGAACCGGGGUAGUCAUCCUUAUGUCAGACGAAAUACCUUCUAAUCAGAAACUGUAACAAGAGACAAAGAAGGUCAUUAUGUAAUGAUAAAGGGAUGACUAUAUCAGGAGGCUAUAACAACUAUAAACAUAUAUGUACCAUAUAUUGUAGCUCCUAAAUGCACUAAAUAAUUAUUAACAAAUCUGAAGGGAGAACAGAGAGCAAUGAAAUAAAGUAGGGGACUUCAAUACCCCACAUUCAACAACAGUUUGAUCAUGCAGACAGAAAAUCAGUAAGGAAAUAAUGGAUGUGAAUUACACUUUAGACAGCAUGUACCUAACAGACAUAUACAGAACACUCCAUAUACCAGCAGCAGAAUAUGCAUUUCUUCUCAAGUGUACGAAAAGGAUUCUCCAGGAUAGAUCACAUGACAGGGCAUAAAACAUGUCUUACCAAAUUUAAAAGUAUUGAAAUCACACCAAGUAUUUUUUCCUACCACAAUGACAGGAAACUAGAAAAAAAACCAAAGGAAGAAAAUGCAAAAUAUAUGUAGAUUAAACAACAUGCUCCUGAACAACCAAUGGGUCAAAGAAGAAAUCAAAAGGGAAAUCAAGAAAUAUCUUGAAACAAAUGAAAACAGAAGCACAAUGUAUCAAAACUUAGGGAUGCUGCAAAAGCGGUUUUAAGAAGGAAGUUUAUACUGAUAAAUGCCUACAUUAAGAAACAAAAAGACCUCAAAUAAACAACCUCACGUUACACCUUAAGGAACUAAAAAAAGAAGAAAAACUACAACAGAGAUAUAUGAAAUAGAGAACAGAAAUAUAGAAAAAAGCAAUAAAACUAACAGCUGAUUUUCUGACAAGAUAAAACAGAAUUAAAGAAGAGACAUUGUAACUGUUACCACAGAAACACAAAGAGUCAGAAGAGACUGCUAUGAACAAUAACACACCAACAAAUUGGACAAAUGAGAAGAAAUUGAUUAAUUCCUAGAAACAUAAAACCUAACUAAAACUGACUCAUGAGGACAAAGAAAAUCUUAAUAGAGCAGUAACAAAAAGGAGACUGACAAUGUAAUCCAAAACCUUCCAACAAAGAAAAGUCCAGGAACAGAUGGUUUCACUGGUGAAUCUAUGAAACAACUAAAGAGGAAUUAAUGCCAAUCCUUCUACAAAUCAUCCAAAAAAGUAAAGAUGAGGGGAUACUUCCAAAUUCACUUUGAGACCAGCAUUACUCUGAUACCAAAGCCAAAUACGGACACUACAAGAAAACAUAUGAAUUCAUCCCUGAUGAAUACAGAUACAAAACAUUAGCAAACUGAAUUCAACAGCAGAUUAAAAGGACCAUACACUAUGAUCAAGUGGGAUUUAUUCCAGGGAUGCAAGGAUGGUUCAACAUAUGCAAAUCAACAGAUCUGAUAUACCACAUUUAUAAAAGAAAAAAAUUGUAUGAUCAUGUCAGUAUGCAGAAAAGGCACUUGAUAUAAUACAAAAUCCUUUCAUAAUAAAAACACUAAAAAAUAUGGUACAGAAGGAAUGUUCCUCAGUGUAAUAAAGGUCAUAAACAACAAACCUACAGCUAAUAUCAUACUCAGUGGUGAAAAGUGAAAAUCCUUUCCUAUGAGAACAGGAAAAAGACAGGAUUGCCCACUUUUGCCAUUUCUAUUCAGCAUAUUAUUGGAAGUCCUAGCCAUAGCAAUUCGGAACAAAAAGGAAAUAAAAGGCAUUCAUAUUGGAAAGGUAAAAGUAAAAUGAUCUCUGUUUGUGGAUAACUUGGUCUUAUAUAUAAACCCUAAAGACUCCACUAAAAAACUGUUAGAAAAAUGAUUUCAGUAAAUUUGGAAGAUACAAAAUCAACAUACUGUUAUCAGUUGCAUUUCUAUACACCAACAAGAACUAUCUGAAAGUGAAAUUUAAAAAGCGAUUGCAUUUACAAUAGCAUCAAAAACAAUGAAACGCUCAGGCACACGUUUAACCAAAGAGGUAUAAGACACUGAAAACUGUAAGACACCGAUGAAAGAGAUUGAAGAAAACACAAAUGGAAGGAUACACUGUGCUCAUGGAUUAUAUCAAGAAUUAAUAGUGUUAAAAUGUCCAUACUACCCAAAGUGAUCUACACAGUCAAUGCAAUCCUUACCAAUAUUCCAGUAACAUUUUUUCACAGAAAUAGAAAAAACUAUUCUAAAAUUUAUUUGGAACCGCAAAAGAUACUGCACCAUCAAAGCCAUC